rnacentral:tRNA from 1 species
GUUUAUGUAGCUUAAUUAAAGUGUGGCGCUGAAAAUGCCAAGAUAGAUUUUAAACUCAUCUCAAAAACA